UCAAGGGCUCUUUUAAGAGCCAUGCAUGUUUUCAGUAAAUGAGUUG
rfam:Camelus ferus unplaced genomic scaffold scaffold595, whole genome shotgun sequence.